rnacentral:rRNA from 1 species
CUUGAGUUUGAUCAUGGCUCAGAUUGAACGCUGGCGGCAGGCCUAACACAUGCAAGUCGAGCGGCAGCACGGGAAGCUUGCUUCCUGGUGGCGAGCGGCGGACGGGUGAGUAAUGCAUAGAAAUCUGCCCGGUAGUGGGGGAUAACCUGGGGAAACCCAGGCUAAUACCGCAUACGUCCUACGGGAGAAAGCAGGGGAUCUUCGGACCUUGCGCUAUCGGAUGAGUCUAUGUCGGAUUAGCUUGUUGGUGAGGUAAUGGCUCACCAAGGCGACGAUCCGUAGCUGGUCUGAGAGGAUGAUCAGCCACAUCGGGACUGAGACACGGCCCGAACUCCUACGGGAGGCAGCAGUGGGGAAUAUUGGACAAUGGGCGAAAGCCUGAUCCAGCCAUGCCGCGUGUGUGAAGAAGGCCUUCGGGUUGUAAAGCACUUUCAGUGGGGAAGAAAGCCUUGGGGCUAAUACCCUCGAGGAAGGACAUCACCCACAGAGAGACCG